rnacentral:rRNA from 1 species
GACGAACGCUGGCGGCGUGCUUAACACAUGCAAGUCGAACGGAAAGGCCCUGCUUUUGUGGGGUGCUCGAGUGGCGAACGGGUGAGUAACACGAGAGUAACCUGCCCUUGACUUUGGGAUAACUUCAGGAAACUGGGGCUAAUACCGGAUAGGAGCUCCUGCUGCAUGGUGGGGGUUGGAAAGUUUCGGCGGUUGGGGAUGGACUCGCGGGUUAUCAGCUUGUUGGUGGGGUAGUGGCUUACCAAGGCUUUGACGGGUCGCCGGCCUGGGAGGGUGAACGGCGACAAGGGUACUGAGAGAGGGACCAGACGGCAAUGGGAGGCAGUAGGCGGAAGUAUUGCACAAUGGGAGGGAGCGUGUUACGGAGGCGUCGGGGUCGGGAAGCCGUCUUUUUGGUUGAAAACAGCUUUCGCUUGUGACGAAGCGUGAGUGACGGUAAUGAGUAAAGAAGCACCGGCUAACUACGUG